GUAGGUGGCAAGCGUUGUCCGGAAUUAUUGGGCGUAGAGCGCGCGCAGGCGGGGUCCUUUAAGUCUGAUGUGAAAGCCCACGGGCUCAACCGUGGAGGGUCAUUGGAAACUGGGGGACUUGAGUACAGAAGAGGAAAGCGGAAUUCCAAGUGUAGCGGUGAAAUGCGUAGAGAUUUGGAGGAACACCAGUGGCGAAGGCGGCUUUCUGGUCUGUAACUGACGCUGAGGCGCGAAAGCGUGGGGAGCAAACAGGAUUAGAUACCCUGGUAGUCCACGCCGUAAACGAUGAGUGCUAAGUGUUAGGGGGUUUCCGCCCCUUAGUGCUGCAGCUAACGCAUUAAGCACUCCGCCUGGGGAGUACGGCCGCAAAGGCUG
rnacentral:rRNA from 1 species